AUNUACGCUGGCCGGCAGGCUUAACACAUGCAAGUCGAGCGGAGAGAAGGUAGCUUGCUACUGAUCUUAGCGGCGGACGGGUGAGUAAUACUUAGGAAUCUGGCUAUUAGUGGGGGACAACAUUUCGAAAGGGAUGCUAAUACCGCAUACGUCCUACGGGAGAAAGCAGGGGAUCUUCGGACCUUGCGCUAAUAGAUGAGCCUAAGUCGGAUUAGCUAGUUGGUGGGGUAAAGGCCUACCAAGGCGACGAUCUGUAGCGGGUCUGAGAGGAUGAUCCGCCACACUGGGACUGAGACACGGCCCAGACUCCUACGGGAGGCAGCAGUGGGGAAUAUUGGACAAUGGGGGGAACCCUGAUCCAGCCAUGCCGCGUGUGUGAAGAAGGCCUUAUGGUUGUAAAGCACUUUAAGCGAGGAGGAGGGUACUGGUAUUAAUACUACCAGGUACUGGACGUUACUCGCAGAAUAAGCACCGGCUAACUCUGUGCCAGCAGCCGCGGUAAUACAGAGGGUGCCGAGCGUUAAUCGGAUUUACUGGGCGUAAAGCGUGCGUAGGCGGCUAAUUGAGUCGGAUGUGAAAUCCCCGAGCUUAACUUGGGAAUUGCAUUCGAUACUGGUUAGCUAGAGUGUGGGGAGAGGAUGGUAGAAUUCCAGGUGUAGCGGUGAAAUGCGUAGAGAUCUGGAGGAAUACCGAUGGCGAAGGCAGCCAUCUGGCCUAACACUGACGCUGAGGUACGAAAGCAUGGGGAGCAAACAGGGAUUAGAUACCCCUGGUAGUCCAUGCCCGUUAACGAUGGUCUACUAAGCCGUUGGGUCUCCUUUGAGGGGAUUAGUGGCGCCAGCUUACGCCAUAAGUAUGGACCGCCUGGGGAGGUACCGGUCGCAAGACUAAAACUAAAAUGAAUUGCCGGGGGCCCG
rnacentral:rRNA from 1 species